rnacentral:rRNA from 1 species
ACUCCUACGGGAGGCAGCAGUGGGGAAUAUUGCACAAUGGGGGAAACCCUGAUGCAGCCAUGCCGCGUGUGUGAAGAAGGCCUUGGGUUGUAAAGCACUUUCAGUAGGGAGGAAGGUAGUGUAGUUAACACCUGCAUUAUUUGACGUUACCUACAGAAGAAGCACCGGCUAACUCCGUGCCAGCAGCCGCGGUAAUACGGAGGGUGCGAGCGUUAAUCGGAAUUACUGGGCGUAAAGCGCAUGCAGGCGGCCUGUUAAGUCAGAUGUGAAAGCCCGGGGCUUAACCUCGGAAUUGCAUUUGAAACUGGCAGGCUAGAGUCUUGUAGAGGGGUUAGAAUUUCAGGUGUAGCGGUGAAAUGCGUAGAGAUCUGAAGGAAUACCAGUGGCGGAACGGCGGCCCCCCGUGGACAAAGACUGACGCUCAGAUGCGAAAGCGUGGGAGCAAACAGGAUUAGAUACCCCUGGUAGACUGUCA